rnacentral:rRNA from 1 species
UGGGGAAUUUUGCACAAUGGGGGAAACCCUGAUGCAGCGACGCCGCGUGAUUUAGAAGGCCUUCGGGUUGUAAAAAUCUUUUCUAUGGGAAGAAAAUGACAGUACCAUAGGAAUAAGGACUGGCUAAUUACGUGCCAGCAGCCGCGGUAAUACGUAAGGUCCGAGCGUUGUCAGGAAUCAUUGGGCGUAAAGGGUACGUAGGCGGGUAAGCAAGUUAGAAGUGAAAUCCUGUAGCUCAACUACAGUAAGCUUUUAAAACUGCUCAUCUUGAGAUAUGGAAGGGAAAGUGGAAUUCCUAGUGUAGCGGUGAAAUGCGCAGAUAUUAGGAGGAAUACCGGUGGCGAAGGCGACUUUCUGGCCAUAAUCUGACGCUGAGGUACGAAAGCGUGGGUAGCAAACAGG